GACGAACCUUGCUAACGUUAUUCGGAAUUACUGGGCUUAAAGGGUGCGUAGGCGGUGCGGAAAGUCGGGUGUGAAAUCCCCCAGCUCAACUGGGGAAUUGCGCCUGAAACUGCCGUGCUCGAGGAAGACAGAGGUACGCGGAACUUAGGGUGGAGCGGUGAAAUGCGUUGAUAUCCUAAGGAACACCGGUGGCGAAAGCGGCGUACUGGGUCUUAUCUGACGCUGAGGCACGAAAGCGUGGGGAGCGAACAGG
rnacentral:rRNA from 1 species